rnacentral:lncRNA from 1 species
GUUUUCUGCCAGUCAUAGGUGUCUCUGCUGGGCUCUCCCAUGCUCUGCCAGGAAAGCUGGGGGCUGGCUCUCUCACAUCACUGGAGCCUUGGCUGGGACAGUUCAUCCCUGCUCCAUGGGGUCUCUCAUUAUCCAGGAGGCUAGCCUGGGCUUCUUCACACAGCCAUCUCAGGGUCCAAAGAACAGCAAGAGAAGGAGAUUUCGGGCAAUACUGCAUUCACUACAGACAAGUCUGCUUCUGGAGAGACAUGCUACUGAUAGCAAAGAAGGAAGAACAGAAAAGAAAACCAAAAGAGUGCCUGACAAAAAAGUGGGUCAUAGGAAUGCUCAAAAUGGAAGGAAUCCAGUUACAACCCGGAAGGUCUUUCUUCCCCUCCCAAUCACUCUCACCUGUGACCUACAAGUGACCUACAAGUGACUACAAGUGGAAGGGAGGGGCUCUUGUCCAACAUGAAAGUCCACUGAAAUCCAAACGGGCACCCCUGCUCCAGGGAAGGUUUGAGCAAGGAUAGCUCUGAUUAACUUGGUGCUUCUCUAUUGGGAAGUUCUAGAAAGGACCAGGUUGAUGAAACUUCCUCUACUGGAUCUUUUCCAAAUGACUUUCAUCAUUUGUUAGAAGUGAAUUCUAGCUGAAACCUAGUCUUAUUGAAAAGUAAGUUUAAAUGUGUACAUCAAAGACAAAAGGGGCAAGAACAAGGCAGGGAUGGGCCAUUCCCUCUAUAGUGAAGAUAAGGGAGCAACCGUUUCUUGCGCACUCUCAUUGUCAAGAGUGGCGGCAAUAAUAACAACAACAAUAAUAAUAAUGCAUAAAGCAAGUGUUCCAUUAAUAUUUUCUUUCAAAAAAAUUGAAAUGCUUCAUAGAAAUCUCCACGAGCUGGAGUUCACCUCUCACGGAUGGACAAUAACAUGAGCAAACUCUUGUAGCUGGCCUUGGCUACACUGUGUGGGAGGUAAACAACUGCUCUCUUUCAUCCCAGGUAGAGAGGUUCAGACACUUCUGGGCCAAACAGAGUAGAAGAGUCUGUAUGCUGUGUUUUGUUUUGUUUUGUUUCAGUUAGUAAAUAUAACUACCAUUAGCCAUAAGUACAUGUUAUUCACAUAUUAAAAAUUUUUUUUAAUUUUUUUCUUUAUUCUAUAGGGAAUAAAAAGCCGUUCAAGUUUCUGAUAAAGCAAAUGACAUUCUCCAACUUGUGCGCAGGAAGAUAACUCUGGUGGCUGUGUGAAGGAUGAACGGGCUGAUGGAGACACUGAAGGUGAGGCAGAUAAGGAGCUUCUUACAAAAGAUGGUGCCAAGCCAAACUAGGAUAAACACAGAAAGGGGAGGAGGUGAGAGAUAAAAGAAAUAUGGCAAAGAAUAAAAAUCACUAGCAGUUAGCUACUGAUCAAGGUGAGAGAGAGCGAGGCAGAGAAAUGAAGCCUGGAGGAGAAAGACAUGCAUGGAAAAGUUGCAGAGCAAGAAUAAAUUCUGUGAUGGUGUUACAGAUGCUCAUGAACCCUGCCCAGGUGCCCCAGCGAAGGGUGAACACCCACUAGGACCUGCUCAAAAGGCGGGGCUGAUACCUGCCUCAAACCAAAAGGGGAGAAGUGAGCCCACUGGCAUACCAACAUACGAAAAAGCACACAUUUGGAGUUAGUUGCCUGGGUUUGAGUACCUGCUUACCCUCCCUUCUCCCCACAAGCCUCAAGCAGCCCAGGGCAGGCUACUAACCCUACUGAAGCCAAAGCUUCCUGAUCUGAAAAUGAAGACAAUAUGCCCUGUAGCGCUGUUAGGAAAAUAAACAGUCGCAUGCAAGAUGGCACCUACUGCAGGCCUGGCAUAUAUCAGGGGCUGAACAAUUAGUAAGAGUUCUCAUCAGCCACACAAAUGUUCCUAUGCGGGGCUCAGAAAGAAUGCAUGACUUUCCCAAGGUGAUGCAGCAUAUUAGUAACAAAACCAGAACUCAGUGUCAGUUUGUCUGAAUUAUCUUCCCUGUAAGCUCUAUUUCCCAAAAAGCAAGAACAUGCGCCGCUUUCUCCUGCACAGCUUCACGUUCUCCGUGUCCUUAGCAUACUUUGUUUUCAGAUCCUGGUCAACAAACAAGGCAAAACACUAAAGACGACUUUCAUUCCCAAUAUGAAAACACUUUUCUGUUGAUACAGCGUCUUUUAUCAUUUUCCUUAGCCCACGUAACAACUUUUUUUGAAAUUCUGAAUGACACAAUUUACUGCAUUGUUUUUGUCAUCUAUUGUUACAAAAGGGCCCCAGAAUUUACUGGCUCAAAGGGACAAUUUGUUAUUUCCAUCAGUUCUGUACCUUGUCUGGGCUCAGAUGGAGGGUUCUCCUGCUCCACGUGGUACUGGCUGGGUCACUUUUGCGGCUACAUUCAUCUGAGAGCUCAAUCAGAAAGUGGAAAGCCCAAAAUGCCUUCACUCAUACAGCUGCUGCCGGAAUAGCCAGGGGCUGGCUGGGUCUCUCUCUCUCUUCACAUUCUUGGCUGUCUGGCCCAAGCUUCUUUACAAAGCAGCUGGGUCCCAAGGGGUGAAGCAGAAGUUUUCGGAGAGCUUCAGGCCAGGGCUCAAAGUCCAGAAGGUCACCUCCACAGCAUUACAUUGGUCAAAGCAAAUCCCAAGGCCAGGCCAGGUGCAAGGGGAGGGAAACAGACUCCACCUCUUGACAUACACACACUCCCACCAGGAAAGGGAGGAAUUGUCAGGAGGAAGUGUUGGUGGCCAUCUUUGAAAGCAUUUACCAAAACCAUUAUUUGUUGGGGCCAGCCCAGCAGCAUAGUGGUUAAGUUCAUGUGCUCUGCUUUUGUGGCCCUGGUUCACUGGUUCCAAUCACAGGUGCAGACCUAUGCCCUGCUCAUCAAGUCAUUCUGUGGCAGGCAUCCCACAUAUAAAGUAGACGAAGAUGGGCACAGAUGUUAUCUCAGGGCCACUCUCCCUCAGCAAAAAGAGGAGGAUUGGCGGCAGAUGUUAGCUCAGGGCCACUCUUCCUCAAAAAUAAAAAAGAAAGAAACAUUAUUUGUAAAAUCUGGGCUUCAGAGGCAAUAGUAAACUAUUUUGUUACAACUUUUUAGAAAGUAUCUCAUCCAUUGAUAAACUAAACUUGUUUUUUCUAAAUGUCUUUUACCCUUGAUUUCCCAGGAAGCAUAUAUUUGAGGAUCGUAGCAGGGUGGGUGUGGCCUUCAAAAAGAUGUCCAAAUCCCCAGAACCUGUGAACGACCUUAUUUGGAAAAAGUCUUUGCAGAUGUCAUUAAAUUAACAAUUUUGAGACAAGCUCAUUCUGGAUGUCCCAGGUGGGCCCUAAAUCCAACGACAAGUGUUCUUGGAAGAGACACAAGAGGAGAAAACACACAGCAGAGGAGGAGACGUGAAGACAGAGACAGAGAUCAGAGUGGCGUGGUCACAAGCCAAGGAAGCCAGGAACGUCCACAGCCAGCAGCAGCGGAAGCGGCAAAGGAUGCUCCCCCAGCCUCCAGAGGCAGUAUGGCCCUACACACGCAUUCAUUUCAGGCUUCUGCCCUCUAGAACCUGAGAGAAUAAAUUUUUCAUUUUAAGCCACCCCGUUUUCAGUAAUUUUUUACAGCAGCCACAGGAAACUAAAUACAAGGAUCGUCCCUCUUUAUACUUAAGACUAAACGUUUCACUCCCAUUUUAGGAUGGUGGUUUUUAGGGCAAUGGCUGUGACUCUUGGCUCCUGCUGUCCCCACCCACUCAGCAGAGACACGGAGGAAGGCCCCUUACCUGAAAACUCAGCCUUGUCCACGUCUUCAGCCACUCCUGACAGAAACACGUAGAACGCCAGAAGCCUCUGUUUCACCAGAUCCUUCUAGAAACAGUCUUGCUACUCAAAGUUCCCAGAGCCACAGCCCCUCCCUUCGCCCAUUUCCCGCAUCCACAGGAUGGGCCCAGGCUUCGGAUCACGGAGCUGAAGUUGCAGCGCCACGACCUAUGACCUUCGGUAACUUACAUAAAUUCUCAGAGCUGCAGUUUCGUUCUCGGUAAAAUCUGAAGAUAUUACCUUCCUCGUAGAGCUAUUUAAAGAACUAAAUAGGGGCCCGGGCUAUUACUGCGGAAGUUGUGGCAGGCUGGGAUGCUCCUCAAAAUCGCGGAGGGCGCCUGGGGCUACGAGCCAGGACUUACUCCUCGGCAAGGCAGUACUUCGCACAGGCGCCCUGUGAGAAGCUGGACUGCCCCUCUCGCCCACACAGGUGCCAGGUGAGCGGCUGGCAGGCUCCUCUCAUCCACGCAGGCACCCUGUGAGAGGUUCCGUGGCCCCUCUCGCCCACGCAGGCGCGCUGUAAGCGUCUCUGAGUCUCCUCUCUCCCACGCAGGCGCCCUGUGAGCCGCUCAGCGUCGUCUCUCAUUCACGCAGGCGCCCUCUGAGCUGCUCAGCUGCCCGUCUCACUCACGCAGGCGCAAACCCAGGUGGUCUACGUUGGCAGAGUUUCCUCGGCCGUCCGCACCGCAACUCCUGGAGCCCCGAGGCUGCCAGGCCCUUCACGUGCGAUCUCAGGCGUUGGUGAUGAUGGGCAGGGCCACCCUGCAGCGCACGUCUGACCCUGGCCGUGGUGAGGCCACGCCCGACGCCAACUACACAGUGUUCGACUUUGAUGCCUUCUGCCAGGCGCGCUACAGAAGCAGCCAGAGCAAGGAUGGUGCCGGAGAGCCCAGGGGUGCAGAUGUUUCUUUCUCUAACGACUUUUGGAGUCUUGAGCUUAUGUGGUUUCAGCUAUGUUCCAGGAAGAAGCUCUAAGCAACAACUGACCUGGAUCCAACCACUCUGAACAGGACCACACUGUCCCAGACCACAGCCACAAGACUGACACCUGCACAGACAGGCAGAGUUGUACUAAAAUAACCUGCCCUCCUUAAUGUUUGGAAUUCUCCUCCUCUGGGAGGGGCAAAGCAGCCACUUUUAGAUCCUGUGAUGUGUGUAAAAGCAUGAUUUCAAACCACGUGUCCAAGCUUAUGCCCACUUCUACAUGUGAUGAUGAAACUUCCCCUUUGAAUAGUCAUUCCCUCUCCCAAAUAAAGGUACCCACGUCCCAGUGCUGGGGGAGCCAUUGCUUUGUGAAAUUAUUCUCUAUGGUCUCCAUUUUCUUUGCUGCAUGCCACAAAUAAAAUGUCUGCUUUGUGUGACAACUACUUCUGGUGUAGUUUAACUCCCAAGAAGGGGACUCAUGUUUGGUCUGGUAACAAUUCUUCCUUGGUCAGAGUCAGACCCCAUUCCCACUUCUGUUGGUGGCAUGUGGGAGUGAGAGAGCAUGGUCAUUGAGUAAGGAAUGAAUGUUCCUGUGCCCAUACUUAUCUAAUGUAUGACCUUGGAGAAGGUACUCUGUGGGCAUGACAGCAGAGGAGCAAAUCAUUUGCACUCUUGAGGUCUGUCACACUUUAUUAUCCAUAGUGCUAAUGGGCUGAGUGAUUAAAACAUUAUGCUAGUAGGGCCAGAUUCAUCCUUAGCACAGUGUGCCUACCAUCCGAUCAUCCCUUUACCAGCCAGCCCCAUUGCUAACUGUGUAGACCAUCCCCUCUCAGAAAUAGAGCAACAGACUGGGAGUUUGAGUCAUUUGAGUGUGGCCCAUCCUCCUAUUUAGGUUGCAGUGCUUUUGUAGGAUCCAGAAGCCAAGCCUUUGAAACACCGCUGCUUGAGGCUGUGGGGAGUUUGGGGAGUUUGGAGUAGAUGGGACUACUGAAGGACAGGAGGCACAUAGUGGAAACUCCGUAGCUUAUUCAGAGCUCGCUGAGGCUUUUCUUUUCUUUAUUUUUGUGGUAGGCAGUUGGUCAUCGCUUGCUAGAGCUGUAGUAGUCAGCUCUCUCAACCCUGAGUCACUGCACAUGGGGAGUGGCUUUGUUGUGAGAUUGUAG